GGCGGACGGGCGGCGGCGGCGACGGCGACGACGGCAGAGCAGGCACCGGCCGAGGAGCAGAGGGAUCGUCGCGCUCGCGGCUGACGGGCGGCCGGGACCAGCAGAAGUGGGCGGGGUGGCCGCCUCUCCGGGCAGCCCGGGCCGGCCGGGCCCACCCUCCCCCCUCCCUAGCUGAUUGGCUCAGGCGGCCCGUUCUCCGCCCGUGAUUGUGCCGGGUCCCCAAUCCCAUUCGCCCAUGCCGCGGCCACGCCGCCCUGGGGGGCUAUGGAUCAUAUUGGAGCCACCGCCUCUAGUCUCUCGGCGGCCGUCAGGACGCGAUUGGUCCGCGGAGAGCAGAGAGGCGGAAAACCCGGGCUGGAUUUCUGGUGGCUUUUGUUCCCGCAAAUUUACGUGGAGCAUUGUUUUUGGGCGAAAACGGGGCCUUCGGCCUUCCUGCUUUAUUCCUGAGCGGUGUAAGAGGGAGGUAGUGGGUAUCUUCGAGAAACGGCCGCCGCGGGGUCCGGAGCCCCGGGUUCCAAUCCCGGGUCGGCCACUGCUAAGCUGUGUGACCUUGGGAUAUGAUCCAAGGUGCUGAAAACUUCCUAACAAAACUCUUCAGCCGAAUCUGGCACGCCUAUGGUUCCAGCUACUGGGUAGACUGAGGCAGGAGGAUCGCUUGAGGCCAAGAGUUCAAGGCCAACCUGGGCAACAUGGUGAGACCCCCCCCUCCCCCCCAGUCUCUCCAAAACAAACAAACCCCACAUUCUCCAGUCUUAGGUCUUCAAGGAUGAACAGACAUUGCAGAAAGGCACGGUUGGGAACAGAAAAAAAUGAUCUCCACUCCCCCAGCCCCCUCCACACCUUGGGCACAUUUCCCUGGAGCCGCCCGAGUGUUCUUUGUCAGUGUAGGAAGAAGCAAAAAUCUAAAUGGAGUCAGGAUGGCCUCCCACAUGGGCACAAGGACAAGGCUGGGGACAGUUGGGUCUCCUCAUCUUAUUUCCCAGGUCUAGGCUGAUUUCUAUUAAUAAUUAAAUUAAUCGUUGUUCUCCUGGACCUCACUUCUUAAUGUGAUUCCAGGAAACUGGCCACAUUCCAAAAUUCAUAAUCUAAGGUAGUGAAAUAACGUGAGCAUCAAGACAGUUUGGCUGGGCUCAGAGGCUCACAUCUGUAAUCCCAGUACUUUGGGAGGCCGAGGGUAGAUCCCUUGAGCCCAGGAGUUCGAGACCAGCCUGGGCAACAUGGCGAAAUCCCAUCUCUACAAAAAAUACAAAAAUUAGCCAGAUGUGGUGGCAUGUGCCUGUAGUCCCAGUUACUUGGGAGACUGCGGUGGAAGGAUUGCCUGAGCCCAGGAAAGGGAGGUUGCGGUGAAUGGGGAUCCCACCACUGCACUCCAGCCUGGGUGACAGCGUAAGACUCUGUCUCAAAAACAAAAGAUUCAUUUCUUAUUGAUAAAGCAAGCUCCUUGGAGAAAGAUCUUGGAACCUCAUUGGGAGUGGAGGUGGGGCUUCUUCAAUCCAGCCGAGCUGGCUGUGAAACCCCCAGGGUUUGGUACCAAGUGAGCUCCAGUCCCAGCUGUGGCUGACUGUGUGAACUUGGCUAUGCAUUCAAGGGCCUCUGAGCCUCAGUUUCCUCAUCUGUAGAAGAGAGCCAGGAACCCGUCAUCCUGGCUAGCAGUGGAAGUCAAAGGUGCUCAUGGAAAGAAUGUCCUUGCUGGCUGGAACAAGGGAGGCCUGAGCUGUGGAAGUCCUUGGAUCAAGGUCCUCCCCACUUCCCGCUGCCUUUUUGGUCCUUCUUGCGUGCUCUUUGUGAUUUAAUGGCUUAGUAGGUUGAAUCAUGUCCCCCCAAAGUUUAUCUCUACCCCAAAUCUCAGAAUGUGACCUUAUUUGGAAAAAGAGUCUUUGCAGAUAAUUAAGGUAAGAGUCAAGAUAAAAUCACACUGAAUUAUGGUGAGCCCUACAUGCAAUGAGACAGUCCUUACAAGAUACAGAAAAGAACACAUAGAGACUUCGGGGGAAAGGAGACUAUGUGCAAGGAUGGCAGAGAUUGGAGCCGAGGGGUGCCUGGGCCUACCAGAGGCUGCAAGAGACAGGGAGGACCCUCCCCUAGAGCCUCCAGGGGGAACAGCCCUGCCCACACCUUGACUUUGGACUCCUGGCCUCCAGAACUGUGAGAGGGGCAGCCAGGGAAACCGAAACAAUGUCAUUUCCCCCCAGAAGUCGGCGUGGCUCAGCUCAGUCCAGUUCACAACAAAUAUGAAAUCCCUGCCCUACAGGACCAGGCCUCAGGAAGGGCUUGGGGGCCUCAGAGGCAAAUGAGACCAGGUCCAUCAACCAUACAGAACUGACAACCUGGACUCCCCACUCUGAAGUAGGCAGACUGCCUGAGGGAGGGGGCCUCCCUCAUGGGGAGAGGGCAGGCGCUGACCUCCCGGGCCCUCCAGCAUUCUCUGGGUCCUGGCCCCGAGAUUCUGGUUUUCCACACAGGGCACCUACUGUCUCACCCUUCCCUGACUCUGCCCGUGCACAAGGUGACCCCGGCUGCAAGCGUGCCAGGAGCUUUUCUCCACCUCUGCCUCAACAUCUGCCGCCUCUCCUCCUCUGGAGAGGGAGGCAGCUGAAGGACACCAGCCCCACGCCUUGCUGGAGCAGCUGAGAUCGCUGGGAGGAGGUUGGGAGAGGACUCAGGGGCUCAGGCUAGAUCAGGAGGGUGUGCCCUGCCUCCUUGUGAGGGGGCCCAGCACCACGGGGAGCCCACAGUGUAGGGUGCUGUUCAGCCAAAUUGGUUACCACUGGGUGUGAGGUCUGUGGUUGUGCAGGGUUGAAGGGCUGGGUGUCAUUUGCCUCUGAGGCCCCCGAGCCCUUCCUGAGGCCUGGUCCUAUAGGUCAAGGAUGGGCUAUUUGUUGUGAACUGGAUUGCGCUGAGAGCCACACUCAUGUUUAGGGGGAAAUGCCAUUGUACUGGUUUCCUGUGACUGCCCUACAAAUAACCACAAAGAGGCAAGGGGAGAAGUGGGGCUGUCCCUUCCAUAGGGCUGCAGUCAAGCACAAAUGACUCUAAUGGUAUUAAUUUUGAGAGAGAGAGAGAGAUUUGGAGUUCACCACAAAUUCUCCAAACAAACAAUUUUACAAGGAGGACAUGACCCGCCUGGCAUUACUGCUUAGGUCUGAAUGAGUGAUACUGACUGCAGCAGGUGACCAGGCCAAGCCCAGAAAUGGGCCACGGGGACCCCAAGCACAUGCUCUUCCCCCAGACUGCCGCCAUCUUGCUUUUCCUUCAGACCUAGGACCCUACGAGAGGAGGGAUCUGGAGGCCAGGACAGGAGCAGGACAACACAAACAGAGGCCUCAGAAGAAGACUCAGAGUGGGACAGGGGUUCCUUAAGUGACGGGGGCUGGAAGUGCACAGAGAAGCCUGGUGCAGCAGGGAAUUUUCUCUCCCUGGGGUGCUGCCAAGGUGUCUGUUGCUUGCCAGCUUUUCCAGCCAUGACUGCAGACAAAGUCCACCUAGAGUCAUAAAUGGGCAAUCAGCCCCGAACAACGUCCAGCCCCGGUUUCUGCACGGCGAGGCGUUUUUGUCCGUGGCAGACCUGCUUACCCGGGUGUCUUUGGUGUGGGGCUAGAUGCAGCAUUUCCCCAGUGGGAAUGGCCUGGGGUCUUAUUUAAAGUGGAGGGUCCUAGGCCUGGCCCCACGUAUGGAGUCAGGAUCCCUAGGGGUAGGACCUUGGAAUCCGCAUUUUUUUUGAGACAGGGUCUCACUCUGUCACCCAGGCAGUGGCACGAUCUCAGCUCUCUGAAACCUCCACCUCCUGGUUCAAGCGAUUCUCCUGCCUCGGCCUCCUGAGUAGCUGGUAUUACAGGCACGCACCACCAUGCCUGGCUAAUUUUCUAUGUUUUUAGUAGAGAUGGGGUUUCAUCAUGUUGGCCAGGCUGGUCUCCAACUCCUGACCUCAAGCCAUACACUGGCCUCGGCCUCCCUAAGUGCUGGGAUUACAGGUACGAGCCACCGUGCCUGGCCAGGAAUCUGCAUUUUUGCUAGUAACCCUGGUCAUCUCAGUGCACACCAAAGUUUGAAACCACUGUUGGGGUGUGGAGUUCUUGCUUCCAGACUUCCAGGGCCUAUGGAUUGAACAACAGCAGCCACAGUAGUAAUUAGAAUUUUCAGUCUGAACCACAAGCCUGCCAUGCAACAAGGGUUUCCUCCCGUUUUACAGAUGAGGGACCUGAGGCUUCAUAAGGCUGUUAUUGACCUGAGGUCGCACAGCUGAUGGCUCCUGGGUUCUUAGCGUUAAGUUUUGCAGCCUUAUUUCUGUUGUAUAUUUGUUUCUCAUCUUUCUGUGUUUAUUGCACUGCAAUUGUGAUAUCCUCUAAAAGCCAAGGAUGAACUCACUGCUGACCUUGGUUUUAUUCGUUUGUUUAUUUUCACCUUUUCUUGUGAAAUGUGCAAACAUACUCAAAAGUCAAGAGAAUCAUAUGGUGAUUUCUCAUAGUCCCCUUUGGCCAGCUUCAGCAAAGAUGACAUUUUGCCACUCUUAUUCCAUCCAUUUCUGUCACGCCACCCCUGACAUACACACAUGUUCUUUCUGGAGUAUUUUCAAGCAAAUACAGGAUUUUUAAAAACAUGUAAA
rnacentral:lncRNA from 1 species